UACGUAGGGUGCAAGCGUUAAUCGGAAUUACUGGGCGUAAAGCGUGCGCAGGCGGUGAUGUAAGACAGAUGUGAAAUCCCCGGGCUCAACCUGGGAACUGCAUUUGUGACUGCAUUGCUGGAGUGCGGCAGAGGGGGAUGGAAUUCCGCGUGUAGCAGUGAAAUGCGUAGAUAUGCGGAGGAACACCGAUGGCGAAGGCAAUCCCCUGGACCUGUACUGACGCUCAUGCACGAAAGCGUGGGGAGCAAACAGG
rnacentral:rRNA from 1 species